GUAUAUCAGAGCUCAUAAUCUGCCUGACCCUGUGGUUUUUUUUUUUUUUUUUUAAACAGGGAAAACACUCCCUUGGGGUCAAAUCAUGGGAGCCAGGUUAUCAGAGUUCUUUACUUAAUCGUCCUGUUCUUAGGUUGAAAAUCAAAAAUUGUAAUGCCAAAAUUUGUAAAGUACUGAUUUGUAUAGGCUACUACAUUCUUCAAUUGAUGGCUAGCAAAUCAAUUCAACCAAACUCUAGAACAUACUUGACUUUAGACUACUGCAUAGGACUAAUCUUGAGUACCCAACCAAAAAAAAAAAAUCAGAUGGAUAAUCAGGUAAGCAUUAUAUCUUUUCAUUAUUAACAGAAAAAAUCUUUGAGGAGCAUCAUUACCUGUAAUAAAUUUUACUGAUUUUUCUUUUAACUAAUUCCUCUCAUUUUCACAUUUCUUGUGCUUUUUUGUUAGGUAUUAGUGCUAAAAUACUCUAUAGACUUUAAGUAGGUGAACAUUUCAAACAGCUUCAUAAAAUUCAUAUAUAUCUAUAUUUUAAUUUGUAAUGUUUUAUGAAAGAGCAUGAUACACAUUCAUUUUAAACCCUUAAAAAAAUUCUGUUUCAGCCACCAUUAAACAAUAAGGCCAGAUCUCUUGGUUAGUGUGUAUGUCUUUGUGUGUAUGUUUCUUUUUUAUUUUUGGUAGCUAAUUUGUAGAAGUUCAGUUCUGUGGUAAGGCAAGAUGAUCUCUAUGCUUUUUAAGAGAAAAUCAUGAACUUAAUAGAAAUGCAAUAUUGAGUUAAAAAUCUUCUUAAAUAUUAUAUUAUCCAUUUUUCCUAAAGGAAGAAUUUAUUAUUUUAACUUUAAUAUAAGCAUGCAAUUUCAGAGCUGAUAGGAAUAUAAGAAGUAACUACCCUGAACUUCUUUGUCUGUGGAUAAGAAAAUAUGCUCAUAAGAGUCCGUGACAGACCAGGAAAAGAAUGUAGUUAUCUAAUUGCUAAACCAGGACUCUCCUUCAAAACUACGCAGCCAUGUCUGUUCCAGGUUCUGUGCAGACUAUAAACUUGUUCUCAUAAGCCAAAAUGUGCUGACCGAAUUCUCCAAGCACAUUAUCUGUGAUCUACCUUCCAAUAAUGCACAUACUUCUUUUUCAUAAUAAAAGUACUUUCAUUUACCUAUUAAAGUGAAGAUCAGGCAAAUUACCCAAAGUUGUAAAGCUAAUCUGAUACUUACGCGUUAAAUCACAAAAGAUAUUUUAUAAUUCUAAAAUAUUAGUUUUAUUUUCAAAUUCAAUUUAAAUGUAUGGACAAUUUCCCCUUCUCCUGGGGCUACAUAGCCAUAGUAAGAACUGUAAUCGCUUUCUCAUAAGUGAACAUUCACUAUGGACACUGUGAUGCAUAGCUUUGUGCACACUCUUCUGGUUUCCUUGUCCAGGUUUAUUUUUCAUGAUUGCCAGAGAGGGAAAGAAAAUAUAUUUUGUACUUUAAGGAGUUAAUGAAGUGCAGCUAAGAGAAGACAAAAAUAAAAGUUUAUACAGUACAGGAAGACUAAAUGAAUUUGUGGGCUUUAAGAGCAUUUUUAUAAAGGGCUUCAGGAUAUUUAAAUAUAUUUUAAUGUAUUUGAUUGCAUUUUGACUUUUGAGCCUCACCAUCAGCUAAAUCCCUUGUCAGCCUAUGACUCCAAUCCUGCAAUUGUUUCCCAAAAACUGAAGGAGUUCUAGACAAAUCAGUGUUAUUAUUCUGAAUCACCCUUUUUAAAAACAAUCCUUUGUUUUUUGUGCAUAUGAUAUUGUUAUGGGUUGAAUUGUGUCUCCCCAAAAAUAUAUGUUGAAGUCAUUAGCCCCAGAGCCUAAGAAUGUGACUUUAUUUGGAAAUAAGGUUUUUACAGAGACAAUCCAAGUUUAAGUCAUGAGGCUAGUCCCUAAUCCAAUAGGACUGAUGUCCUUAUAAAAAGAGAAAUUUGGGUCCAGAGAAGGAUAUGCACAGAGGGAAUGCAUAUCCUGUGAAAAGACAGAGACACAGGGAGAGCAUCAUUUGAAGAUGAAGGCAGGAAUUGGAGAACUUCAUCUACAAGGCCCCAAAGCUUGCCCGCAAACCUCCAGAGGCCAGGAGAGAGGCAUGGAACAGAUUCUUCGUCACAGCCCUCAGAAAAAAACUCAUCCUGUGGAAACCUUGACUUUGGACUUCCAGCCUCAAUAAGGGUCACUAAUCUACUCUUAUCUCAACUGUGACUUUGAAUAUGGUGAUGAAGAUAUGAACAGAUACCAGCUGACCAUUCAAAAGAAUAAAGAAGGGAUUCUGGAGCUCACACGGGAGAAUAAGACGUGGGUUAGACUCUUCCAUAGAAUCCAGUGCUGAAGGCCAUCUUGCCUGAAAAAAUCCUGUCAGAGCCUCCUACUCUAACUUAGAUUUUGCAGAAAAGACUGGACAGAGUUGUGGUGGUUUUGGGGACUAGAAAGACGGUCCUUGUUGAUCAUAGUAGGGUUUCCUGCAAGGGAUAUGCUACUAAAUCCAGAUUAAUGGGAGUGAACCAGAUGCUUUCGCAGAGGCAUUGAGGAAGAGAACAGGCUCUUCUACUGAGUUGCUAAGGAAAGAACAACUAAGAGGUGGAGUCUCUAGAUUUGCCCAUCUGCAUCUGUCUGAUCCACUCCACAGGAAGGCAAGAAAACAGGGGUCCCAGGAAUCUUCUGCCCUUCUGCCCAUGACUCUGCCUGCACCAGACGACACUUACUGGUGUUCACUCAAGCACAGUACAUGAGUGAAAUGUGAAAUUUGGUGCCGUGACUCGGAUCGGGGGACCUCCCUUGGGAGAUCAAUCUUCUGUCCUCCUACUCUUUGCUCUGUGACAAAGAUCCACCUGCAACCUCUGGUCCUCAGACUAACCAGCCCAAGGAACACCUCACCAAUUUUAAAUCGGGAACUCAAAAUAGGAUGGCCGGUGGCAGAAGCAAAGAGUUUGUCUGGCAAGGACACUUAGGACCAGAUGACAGCAGGGCUUAAAAAUACUUUAAAAUAUUUUCCAUUUGUCCAAAAGUGUUUUGAUUGGUUUGGUUUUAUAUUGCCAAGUGUAAAACCUACAAAUUAUUCCUUAUUAAUGCUUGAUAAAGUACCAGUUCCAAACGAAAUCUUCACCCAAGCUUUUUAACUAUUAUCUUUAUGAACUGCAACAUUCAGGCUUUGUUCAGCUCUUGCAAAUAAGGAUAUCAAUUUCAUUGGAAAUCAAUAAGUACCACCGACAAAGAAAGAGAAUAGGAGGAAAAAGGGAAGAAUGAAACAGAUUUCAGUGAUCCUCAAGCACAUUUGUGGGGUGUUUCUUCCUCACACUAAGAUGAAACAGAAACCAAGCAGGAACUGGAGGGGACACUGUUUCUUUCCAUUUGAAUUAAUUUUAAUUUUAAAGCCAAAUUUUAUGGA
rnacentral:lncRNA from 1 species